rnacentral:misc_RNA from 1 species
UCCGGUUUGUCACCGGCGGUCUCCUUAGAGUUCCCAACUUAAUGAUGGCAACUAAGGACAAGGGUUGCGCUCGUUGCGGGACUUAACCCAACAUCUCACGACACGAGCUGACGACAGCCAUGCAGCACCUCGACUCCACCCCCUUGCGGGGUACCGAUGUUUCCACCGGCGUUGAGAAGCCGUUCGAGCCCAGGUAAGGUUCUUCGCGUUGCGUCGAAUUGAACCACAUGCUCCACCGCUUGUGCGGGCCCCCGUCAAUUCCUUUGAGUUUCAGCCUUGCGACUGUACUCCCCAGGCGGCAUAUUUAACGCGUUAGCUCCGGCACGGAAGGAGUCGACACCUCCCACACCUAGCCCCCAUCGUUUACGGCAUGGACUAC